UGGUUCUUCUGAGGGGCUGGUUCUUCUGAGAUGGAUGGUUCUUCUGAGAUGGCUGGUUCUUUUGAGGCACCUGGUUCUUCUGAGGUGGCUGGUUCUUUUGAGAUGGCUGGUUCUUUUGAAAUGGCUGGUUCUUUUGAGAUGGCUGGUUCUUCUGAGGUGGCUGGUUCUUUGCAUUUGUGUUGACAAAUGCAAAGAUGUUUGUAUGUUCAGUGAAGUUUUUCAGAAACCAGAACAUUGUCGUACUAUCGAGAACACCGUUUUGGAGUGACGAAAAAUGCAUUGUGAUAUCAGUACAAAGCCAGACAAAGCAAGAGAACAAGGACAAUUAAGCACACACAAAAAAACACACAUAUAUAUAUAUUUACACACACGCCAACACACACACGCUUACACACAACAGCACAAGGCCCCAGCAAAAUUAGAUAGUGGUUACGUAACACACACUUCACAGCCAUUGUCACGUUCCAAUCAAAAUUGCCACUCAGAUAAAG
ensembl:lncRNA